UUCUGCUCAAACUAACUUGAAUUUUAUGCAAAAUCUCUGCUAAAAGUUCUUUCUUCUCUAAUUUCACAUUCUGUCCAGCCUAUAGACUUGCAAGAAAAUUUCUAAAUUUUGAUCAUAUUUUGCAGGGUAUUUGGAGAAUUGCACAAAAUGUCGUUUUUUGGAGGGAAAGAUCCACUUGAUCAUCCGUUUUUCACUCAGCCUUUUGGUGGCACGCACCCGCCCGUUUGUUGAUCCUUUUUUCACCAGCAAUUUUGGUAGUAUUUCGGGUCCCCCGGGCCGCAAGCAAAUUUCCAUUGAAGGGCUGAAUCCUGAUGAUGAUGGGAGCGGUGAUGCUAAAAGUUUGCCUAAACAGAGCCUAACCGUUAAGAAUUCAAAUGAAUACCCAUCAGAUUAUCAGAGUUUUAGCUUCCAGAGAGUCGCGUAUGGAGGUCCCGAUGGGAUAUAUUACACCUCCUCUGUUGGGAGAAGGGCUGGGGGAGAUGGGGUGUUUCUGAUGGAGAUGAAAGAAGAUGAUUGAAUGGUUGGUGAAUCACUGCAUACCAUUUUGAAAGGGAUACAUGAUAAGGGGCAUUCUGUUACGACCAAACAAUGUGAGGAUGGCAGAAUUGAUUCAUUGCAAACGUUACACAAUUUAGAAGAAGAUGAGCUUGCUGGUUUUCAAGAAAAUUGGAAGACUAGUGCUGAGAAUGUUUUGCCUGGAUGGAGUGAUGGCUUCGGUCUACUUGAAAAUGCAGGUACGCUACUCGAAUUGUUUGUGUAUAUAUUUUGUUUUAUACUCUUGGUUAGAAUUUGUUCACAUUCCUUCACAUUCUGAACCGUGAAUACCUACUCUUGUUGCCAUGUGACUAUAUAUUGAUUUUUUUAUAUUUCUUGAUCAUUUAAGUAUGAGAAUGAGAAUCCGGAUUGAUGAUAAGAUACAACUGAGUUUUGUGGUGUGUAUAUAAAUGUGUAAGGUGGGAGCGGGGGCUAGUUACAUCCAAUACUCGUUAGCAAAUACUUCUUGCACCAUGAAUCGGGUUUUUUGUUUUUUCAUAAUUGUAAUAUAAAAAUGGAAGGGGGAAGAAUGGUUGGGGUUUAAGUGUAUGCAGCUUAAGUCUCUCUUUUUCUGGAAGGAAGUAAGUGCAAGCACUUGGGAGUAAAACCUUUGGAUUAAUCUCCUCAGCCGUCUUCUCGUGGUACCUCCAGAAGAAUCGUCCCUGUAGAGUGAAGUCUCCUCGAUCCUUUAGUGUUGCUGCUCUGCUCUAUCUAUAUGUCUGUCCAUCUGUGUAUUAUGUUUUCUACAGUGGAGAUGCAUGCUAUGCUGUUUGGUUUUGUAUCUGUUAUCGUCAGGAACCAUCUAUCUGUGGUCUCACUUUAUACAUGGUUUGGCUCUAGCGCUUGUACUUAGUUCGUGCAUCCGUAACUGGAUAUAGACCUUAGUUUGUCAACAAGAUGUGGCACUUUUUAAGUCCUGCUGUUCUACUCUUGUAUUUUAUUUGUUGUUGUCAAAUAUUUUGGUGUUUCGACUAAAUUUGUCACACUUAGUAAGGAUCGAAUGCCAAA